rnacentral:rRNA from 1 species
UACGGAGGGUGCAAGCGUUAUCCGGAUUCACUGGGUUUAAAGGGUGCGUAGGCGGAAUUGUAAGUCCGUGGUGAAAUCUCCGAGCUUAACUCGGAAACUGCCGUGGAUACUAUAGUUCUUGAAUGUUGUGGAGGUUUGCGGAAUAUGUCAUGUAGCGGUGAAAUGCUUAGAUAUGACAUAGAACACCGAUUGCGAAGGCAGCAGGCUACACAAAUAUUGACGCUGAGGCACGAAAAGCGUGGGGGAUCAAAACAGGAUUAGAUACCCGCGUAGUCC